rnacentral:rRNA from 1 species
UGAGGGAUAUUGGUCAAUGGGCGCAAGCCUGAACCAGCGACGCCGCGUGGGUGAAGAAGGUCUUCGGAUCGUAAAGCCCUUUUCCCACUGAAGAGGAAGGACGGUAGGUGGGGAAGAAGUCUCGGCUAACUACGUGCCAGCAGCCGCGGUAAAACGUAGGAGACAAGCGUUAUCCGGAGUUACUGGGCGUAAAGGGCGUGCAGGUGGCGUCUUAAGUCUGUUGUGAAAGCGCCUGGCUUAACCGGGCGAGGCCAAUGGAGACUGAGUGGCUGGAGGACGGCGGAGGGGUGUGGAAUUCGGGGUGUAGUGGUGAAAUGCGUAGAGAUCCGGAGGAACACCAGAGGCGAAGGCGGCACUCUAAGCCGUACCUGACACUGAGACGCGACAGCACGGGGAGCAUACG